rnacentral:rRNA from 1 species
UACGGAGGGUGCAAGCGUUAUCCGGAUUUACUGGGUUUAAAGGGUGCGUAGGUGGGUCUGUAAGUCAGUGGUGAAAUCUUCGAGCUUAACUCGGAAACUGCCAUUGAUACUAUAGGUCUUGAAUCAUCUGGAGGUGAGCGGAAUAUGUCAUGUAGCGGUGAAAUGCUUAGAUAUGACAUAGAACACCGAUUGCGACGGCAGCUCACUACGGAUGUAUUGACACUGAGGCACGAAAGCGUGGGGAUCAAACAGG